rnacentral:lncRNA from 1 species
UUUUAGUACAAAUAUAUUCAAAAAGAUCAAAGAGCAAAAAGUUAUCCAAAUCGGCACAUAUGUUUUUUAAGGACUAGCAUAUUCUAUAAGAAAAUCGUCAUGGAAGCUGUGAGGCCGGGCUUGAGCAGGACUAGUUUUAUUGGGCCUAACAAAUGUUGCAACUCUGUUGAUGUGAAUUGGGUAAGCAACAUCAUGAGCUUACCUCCUUCCCUUCUCUUGCCCAUACGCCAUGCCACAUUUGCCCCGUCAA